UUCCGGUUGAUCCUGCCGGAGGCGACCGCUUUUGGAGUUCGAUUAAGCCAUGCGAGUCGAGAGCCUUAGGGGCUCGGCAUACUGCUCAGUAACACGUGGAUAACCUGCCCUAUUGUCUGGAAUAACCUCGGGAAACUGAGAACAAGGCCGGAUAACCCACUAUGCCUGGAACGGUUUGUGGGUGAAGAUAGGAUAGGUCUGCGGCGUAUCAGGUCGUAGGGGGUGUAAUGGACCUCCUAGCCAUCGACGCGUACGGGUGUUGGGAGACAUAGCCCGGAGAUGGAUUCUGAGACACGAAUCCAGACCCUACGGGGUGCAGCAGGCGCGAAAACUUCACACUGCAGGAAACUGUGAUGAGGGAACUCCAAGUGCAUCCACUAUGUGGAUGCUUUUUUUGACUAUUAAUCGGUCAACGAAUAAGGGCUGGGAAAGACCGGUGCCAGCCGCCGCGGUAAUACCGGCAGCUCAAGUGGUCGUCGCUUUUAUUGGGCCUAAAGCGCCCGUAGCCUGUUUGGUAAAUCUAUGGGUAAAUCAACCAGCUUAACUGGUUGAAUUCUGCAGAGACUGCCAGACUAGGGACCGGGAGAGGUGUGGGGUACUCUAGGGGUAGGGGUAAAAUCCUGUCAUCCUUAGAGGACCACCAGUUGCGAAGGCGCCACACUGGAACGGAUCCGACGGUCAGGGACGAAGCCUAGGGGCACGAACCGGAUUAGAUACCCGGGUAGUCCUAGGUGUAAACGCUGUGAACUUGGUGUCGGGGAUCCGCAAUGGGUCCUCGGUGCCGGAGUGAAGAUGUUAAGUUCACUGCCUGGGGAGUACGGUCGCAAGGCUGAAACUUAAAGGAAUUGGCGGGGGAGCACUGCAACGGGAGGAGCGUGCGGUUUAAUUGGAUUCAACGCCGGA
rnacentral:rRNA from 1 species